AACUUUGUGCAGUGGCAGUAUGGUAACCAAUGAGACUUGACCGAGUGACGUCUAUUGCUAGUUGAAAACAUUUUCCAAUACCCCGCCUGGACGACGUGAAUGACCGACGGCCAUGGCAAUUUUUGAUAGCCGGACUCAUGG